CAGUCCUGCUGACCACCAUCCAUGAUGAGGAGACCACCAGACUCCAGCAGAUUCUCAGCCACUGCUCUGAUGGCAGGAGCUCUCCAGCAGCCUGGCAAAUGUGACCAGGAGCUGGCAGACAGGACAAAGUCAAAGACCUGCUGGGCUUUAAGGUGCAAGGAGGGGAUGGGAAGGGAUUUAACACACUGAACUGAAAGCUCUGAUGGUUUUAAUUGAUGUCCAAGGAGAAAGCUUGGUGAUUUAGAGAUGAAGAAGAAAGGAAUCGCACCCUUGAAGUACAAGAUGAGCUGUAGUGCCUUGCAAAGCAGCUGAACAGUUCCCUGGGCCAGAUGGAAUCCAGAAGCCAUUCAAUGGAUUGAUUUGGGUGCAGAAGCCCUGCAGCUUCCCUGCAGUCCCAUGCAGAGCUUCUCAGAGCUGGAAGCCACAGUGCAGUAUGGGUCCUCUGCAGCUCUGGCAGGACUCAGAAUCUGCCUCUACAUCACGUGCUCCUCAUCUGGGAAGUCUUCUUGGUUUAGAAACCUUGCCCUGCAACUGCACAGAGAUGGCUAUGGUGUGGGCCUGCGUAGAAGCCAAGAAGGCUUUAUGGGUACCAACUGUCUGGACACUAAAACCUCCUGCAUCACUCAUGUAUUAUUAUUUCCUGUUACUUAGGACCUUUCCUUCUCCUCUUCUUCACCUCAAGUAAAGGGGACCUGUUGAUAUAUCCAUGGGUGUAAUACCUACUGGUCUUGGUAGAAAUUCUCUGGCUCAUUGUACAUUAACAUUGUUGAUAUUUUUUAUGCAUAUGCAAUUAAUAAA